GACGGGGGGCAAGUGUUCUUCGGAAUGACUGGGCGUAAAGGGCACGUAGGCGGUGAAUCGGGUUUGAAAGUGAAAGUCGCCAAAAAAGUGGCGGAAUGCUCUCGAAACCAAUUCACUUGAGUGAGACAGAGGAGACUGGAAUUCCUGGUGUAGCAGUGAAAUGCGUAGAUAUCAGGAGGAACACCGAUGGCGAAGGCAGGUCUCUGGGCUGACACUGACGCUCAUGCACGAAAGCGUGGGGAGCAAACAGG
rnacentral:rRNA from 1 species